CAGCCUGUCAUGUAUUCAGGACAAUGCCUACAACAUAACUAGGAACGAUCAGCAUGGCUGCUGGCAUUACUUGCAAUGAUGUGCACAGGUACAUAUAUAUUAAACAGAAGAGGAUACUGUGCAUGUGUGAUUGCUCUUGAAGACAUUUUAUACUCCAGUACUUUGGAAAAGGCCACAUUUCUCCCAGGCACGUAGCAUAAUCUUUGCUUGAUCAUCCACUUCUAG
rnacentral:lncRNA from 1 species